UACAGAGGUCUCGAGCGUUGUUCGGAUUCAUUGGGCGUAAAGGGCGCGUAGGCGGCGGGGUAAGUCUGGUGUGAAAUCUCGGAGCUCAACUCCGAAAUUGCACUGGAUACUGCUCUGCUAGAGGGCUGGAGAGGAGAUCGGAAUUCACGGUGUAGCAGUGAAAUGCGUAGAUAUCGUGAGGAAGACCAGUGGCGAAGGCGGAUCUCUGGACGGCAACUGACGCUGAGGCACGAAAGCGUGGGGAGCAAACAGG
rnacentral:rRNA from 1 species